UACGUAGGUGGCAAGCGUUGUCCGGAAUUAUUGGGCGUAAAGCGCGCGCAGGCGGUCCUUUAAGUCUGAUGUGAAAGCCCACGGCUCAACCGUGGAGGGUCAUUGGAAACUGGGGGACUUGAGUGCAGAAGAGGAGAGUGGAAUUCCACGUGUAGCGGUGAAAUGCGUAGAGAUGUGGAGGAACACCAGUGGCGAAGGCGACCCUCUGGUCUGUAACUGACGCUGAGGCGCGAAAGCGUGGGGAGCAAACAGG
rnacentral:rRNA from 1 species